rnacentral:rRNA from 1 species
UACGUAGGGGGCAAGCGUUGUCCGGAUUUAUUGGGCGUAAAGAGCGUGUAGGCGGCUUUACAGGUCCGUUGUGAAAACUCGAGGCUCAACCUCGAGACGCCGGUGGAAACCGUAAGGCUAGAGUCCGGAAGAGGAGAGUGGAAUUCCUGGUGUAGCGGUGAAAUGCGCAGAUAUCAGGAAGAACACCAAUGGCGAAGGCAGCUCACUGGGACGGUAUUGACGCUGAGACGCGAAAGCGUGGGGAGCAAACAGG